AUGAGUUCUGAAAAAGAAACAGGGCUACUUUACACAGUGAGUUCCAAGUGUGCCAAUGAAUGCGUGCCAAUGAAGUACUGUAUGUUUGAUAAAGAUAAACAGCUAUUUCAAUAUGCUCAGAAAAACUCCUCAGAAACUCUGCAUUUGAAGUGUUAUAAAGAUAUGAACAGUUUUGCUGAAGUGCCAGUGUGAGGUUAAAGAGACGGAGCCACACAAGGAGAUGAUGUCUCAAAGCUGUUGGAAACAAGGAUGGGAAGCAAAUUGGAUGAUGUAGUUCAAUGCUUGGUGGACAGUUCUCACAAGGGUCAUCAGAGCUCAAGCAUCCACCAUACGGGCAGAGUGCAGUUAUGUAGGUUGCCUUGGGGCUGGUCAUCAAUCAUGUAUGUAGGAACUGGAUUCCAGGCACAAAGGUAGAGGACACAGCAC
rnacentral:lncRNA from 1 species